UACGGGGGGUGCGAGCGUUAAUCGGAAUAACUGGGCGUAAAGGGCACGCAGGCGGUGACUUAAGUGAGAUGUGAAAGCCCCGGGCUUAACCUGGGAAUUGCAUUUCAUACUGGGUCGCUAGAGUACUUUAGGGAGGGGUAGAAUUCCACGUGUAGCGGUGAAAUGCGUAGAGAUGUGGAGGAAUACCGAAGGCGAAGGCAGCCCCUUGGGAAUGUACUGACGCUCAUGUGCGAAAGCGUGGGGAGCAAACAGGAUUAGAUACCCGGGUAGUCC
rnacentral:rRNA from 1 species